rnacentral:lncRNA from 1 species
UUCAAUUCAUGCAGAUGCCUUUUUUUGCUUUAAGGUAAAAUGCCAAACUGGACAACAAGUGGUUGCAAAACAGUUGUAAACAACAGUGACAUAAUAUGUCAAUGUUCUCAUCUGACUUUCUUUGCAGUCUUGAUGAAACCAGAAAUACAAACCAUCAGCAGUUCUGACCUGGAGUCGCUAACGUACAUCAGUUACAUCGGCUGUGGUCUGUCUUUGUUCUUUGUGGGCAUUGUGUUGUUCAUGCAAUUCCUUCUACGGUAAUGUGGCCAUUAUAGUGUCAAACAACACAAUGUAAUCUAUAAUCAAAAACCAUAAUUACACAGAUUUAAAUAUAUUCAUGUAAUUAUUUAUGAAUUAAGAAAACCGGUAAUUUUAUGGUAAAAUGGAAAACUAAGUAUAGAUUUAAAAGUACAGUACAGGCCAAAAGUUUGGACACACCUUCUCAUUCAAUGUGUUUUCUUUAUUUUCAUGACCAUUUACAUUGGUAGAUUCUCACUGAAGGCAUCAAAACUAUGAAUGAACACAUGUGGAGUUAUGUACUUAAAAAGUGGAGACCUGGCCUCCACAGUCACCGGGCCUGAACCCAAUCAAGAUGGUUUGGGGCGAGCUGGACCGCAGAGAGAAGGCAAAGGUGCCAACAAGUGCUAAACACCUCUGGGAACUCCUUCAAAACUGUUGUAAAACCAUUUCAGGUGACGACCUCUUGAAGAGCAUCGAGAGAAUGCCAAAAGUGUGCAAAGCAGUAAUCAGAGCAAAAGGUGGCUAUUUUGAAGAAACUACAAUAUAAAACAUGUUUUCAGUUAUUUCACCUUUUUUUGUUAGGUACAUAACUCCACAUGUGUUCAUUCAUAGUUUUGAUGACUUCAGUGAGAAUCUAACAAUGUAAAUGUUCAUGAAAAUGAAGAAAACACACUGAAUAAGGUGUGUCCAAACUUUUGGCCUGUACUGUAUAUUUAUUUACUUGGUAUAGAGAUACAUAUCCACAGAGUGGGCUUGUUCACUAGUGUAAUGUCAAAGGCAUUCUCAGGAUUUACAAAAUAUAUAGAUAAAUCAUGAACAAAAUGAGAUAUUUAUAGAUAAUAAUUACACCAACAUAGGUGUAGUUUGUUUUCUUCAAGAUACAUUUAUUAAAUGUACCAACCUGCCAAGUUUCAAAGCUGCACCUUAUGGUUUUUGCUGCCAAACACAUUUUAAGGCAGAAAAAAAGCAAAUCCAAGCAAAAACAAUAGAGUUCCCACAGCUUUGCUGCUUGCCCUAAUUU